CACCACAGAGGACUGGUACAAGGAUGAAGUGAUGGAAAACAUCUAGAACAUUCUAAGAGCAUCUAGCAAGUGCCUGAUAAAUGGUUUGAACUGUGCAGGUCCACUUGUACGUGGAUUUUCUUCUACCUUUGUCACCUCUGAGACAGCAAGACCAUCUCCUCCUCUUCCGCCUCCUCCAUAGCCUGCUCAAUGUGAAGAUGAUGAGGAUGAUUCCCUUUAUCAUGACCAACUUCCACUGAUGAAUAUUGGAUGCCUUGAUCUAGAGGGAAACCGGUGCUUUUCCCCAUUUAUCAUCCUCUUACAGAAGAAUUUCACUUGCAGCAACUUUGAACUGCCUCUGAACUCACUCAUGCUGCAGAAGAAUCCAUGCCUGUUUGUUGAUAUUUUGUUUUUCAUGCCUGAAGAGCACAACUGGAACAAACAAGAAGUUGGAGAGUAAGAUGCUUGCCAUAACAAAUCUGUCUGGCCUACAGUGCAUGCAAAUAUACUUGUAAGAAAAUUACCACCCCCAACUUCGCUCAAUGGGUGUCUUUGUUAUUGUACAAUUGUUAAAUGCAUUUCACAAUGAAGUUAUGUUAGAGUGUCAGGCCUCAAAUGGAGAUAAAGCAAUUCCUAAACAUAGUAGGUGGGUGUGAGUAGACAGCUAUUUCUUGUUCGAAUCACUACCACCAGCAUUAUCACUGAGAAGAAGAAUCAACAGGUCUCUUAGAGUGGAAACUGGGACCAGCCCCUCUCCUUCCUCCUGCCUGCACUCUCUGCCCAGGAGGUAGCAAGUUUGAAUCUAUUCUAAUGGCAUCCUUGAAAGGAUAUAAGCUUGUUUGGGGGAGCAAGGUCAGUCACCAUAACUCCAAC
rnacentral:lncRNA from 10 species